AAAACUUAGGUACAAUUCCUUAGGUGUUUUUCGUAUGGUUCUUAACUAAAAAUACAUAUUUUUUGGAUAUAACAAACUUUGAAAAAAUUAUGAAUUUGAGGAAAUCAUGGUGAAUUUAAUUAAGAACCAUACAAAAAGCACCUAAGGAAUUCUACCAAAGUUUU
rfam:Medicago truncatula strain A17 chromosome 3, whole genome shotgun sequence.